rnacentral:lncRNA from 1 species
GGGCUGGGCACGGUGGCUCAUGCCUGUAAUCCCAGCACAUUGGGAGGCUGAGGCGGGGGGGUCAGCUGAGGUCAGGAGUUCAAGACCAGCCUGGCCAACAUGGUGAAACCCCAUCUCUACUAAAAAUACAAAAAUUAGCUGGUUGUGGUGGUGGGUGCCUGUAAUCCCAACUACUUGGGAGGCUGAGGCAGAAAAUUGCUUCAACCCAGGAGGCAGAGGUUGCAGUGAGC